AACAACAGUUCUGCAAAAUACAAAUGCUUUUGGAUUCAAUAGGACUCAGUCCCACAAGAUCUUGCUUAGACACAUACAAUUUAAAAAAGUAAAGGGGGCAUGGCAGUCUACUAUCAAAGUAUUUUGUUGUUGUCCAAAUAUGUCGUAUGGUGGAUUUAUUUAAUUGGUGAUACUGUUAAAUCAGACAGCAUUGCAAGAGUCUUCUGCCAUGUUAGUGUAGCUUGUUUUGUCCAUGUCACUAUAUUUCGCACUCUAACCACAGUAGCACCUGUCAUCUCCCCUCCCCUCCUCAACAAACAGAUGACUUAAUUCAAUCCAGUACAAGACUCAACAUGAAGAAUUUAGCUGGUUCACAACUUCUCAAAACCAAGUUAAGGUCUGCAUGAAACCGGAGUCUGAAGUUCGUUUUUCCUGAGUUUCCUGAACUCAUCCCGGCUGAGUCUCCAACCACUACACCUGCUGCGAUCUGCAUACCUGGUCCUGAUUACCAUUCCCUGCACCAUUAUAAGCCACGACCAGACAUCCAUUCCCUGCCGGUUCGUUAGCUCUACAGUUACUCAACUGGAUCGUCACUCAUACCUGCCUGGCCAUCUACCUCACUGCAGCACAUUUUGGAUCAGCACACAAGCCUCCCG